AUUGAACGCUGGCGGCAUGCCUUACACAUGCAAGUCGAACGGCAGCGGACCUUCGGGUGCCGGCGAGUGGCGAACGGGUGAGUAAUGCAUCGGAACGUGCCAUUGAGUGGGGGAUAACGUAGCGAAAGUUGCGCUAAUACCGCAUAUUCUGUGAGCAGGAAAGCAGGGGACCGCAAGGCCUUGCGCUCUUUGAGCGGCCGAUGUCAGAUUAGCUAGUUGGUGAGGUAACGGCUUACCAAGGCGACGAUCUGUAGCGGGUCUGAGAGGAUGAUCCGCCACACUGGAACUGAGACACGGUCCAGACUCCUACGGGAGGCAGCAGUGGGGAAUUUUGGACAAUGGGGGCAACCCUGAUCCAGCCAUGCCGCGUGAGUGAAGAAGGCCUCGGUUGUAAG
rnacentral:rRNA from 1 species